ACAAAACACCAUCAAUCUUCAGCAAAUAUCGAUACAUUGCAUUAACCACACAAAACACCAUCAAAUUAAGGCAAAUGAUCAAAGUUUACAAUUACAAUUCACACCCAGAUAACAUUACAAAUCAGUAUGCGCAAUUUAAGAGGGUGUUAAAUAUAAUCACUUAAAGAGCAAUACAAGUUGAAAUAGAUAACAACCAUGAUUAGUUACUAAUCACUCUGACCGUUGUAUUAAUUCAUAUAAAUACUCUCGUUGACUUAGUCAAUACCAUUGAAAUCUGUUGUGAAUCAUCUAGGAUUUGAGUCUUAAUAUGAAUUGGGUAAUAUUGCUCCUAAUCCGAUGUGCAUGUUAUCGGAGCGAAACUUUCGUUGCUCACACUAAGUUUAGGCAUGUUAUCAUGGAUCUCAAAUUCGUUCAGAUAAUGGGUCGUUGGUUAUUAAACAUAUUUCCAGCUCCGAUUAUUGGACGAACAUCCUCACCAAACCAUUCCGACCGAAGACGUUCUUAUUUCUUCAAGCCAAACUUGUUGGGUAUCCACACAGGUUUGAGAGGGAGUAUUAGUCCAAGUAUAUCAUUAAUUUUGGUAAUUGUAUAGCCUAACUUUUAGUUAAUUGUUUGUUUGUUAUUGCCAGUAGCGUGUACGUCUAUCUAUCGCACACAGUCGCUGAAUGAACAUCCAUUGAUCAUAUUACACCCACCCAAUUGCAAUCGCUAACUCUGAUAUGUUUAAAAAAAAAGAUGGCUUUGCCAAUUGGCAUCACACAUUUCUUUACCUGCCCGAUAACGGGGUUGUUUUAGAAUUCUAG
rnacentral:lncRNA from 1 species